GGACGACUAGCUCACUUGGUUAGAGCGCUACGUUGACAUCGUAGAGGUAACAAGUUCGAUUCUUGUGUCGUCCA
rnacentral:tRNA from 1 species